rnacentral:rRNA from 1 species
UUCUGUAGCAAGGUUAACCGAAUAGGGGAGCCGGAGGGAAACCGAGUCUUAACCGGGCGUUAAGUUGCAGGGUAUAGACCCGAAACCCGGUGAUCUAGCCAUGGGCAGGUUGAAGGUUGGGUAACACUAACUGGAGGACCGAACCGACUAAUGUUGAAAAAUUAGCGGAUGACCUGUGGCUGGGGGUGAAAGGCCAAUCAAACCGGGAGAUAGCUGGUUCUCCCCGAAAGCUAUUUAGGUAGCGCCUCGUGAAUUCAUCUCCGGGGGUAGAGCACUGUUUCGGCUAGGGGGCCAUCCCGGCUUACCAACCCGAUGCAAACUGCGAAUACCGGAGAAUGUUAUCACGGGAGACACACGGCGGGUGCUAACGUCCGUCGUGAAGAGGGAAACAACCCAGACCGCCAGCUAAGGUCCCAAAGUCAUGGUUAAGUGGGAAACGAUGUGGGAAGGCCCAGACAGCCAGGAUGUUGGCUUAGAAGCAGCCAUCAUUUAAAGAAAGCGUAAUAGCUCACUGGUCGAGUCGGCCUGCGCGGAAGAUGUAACGGGGCUAAACCAUG